CGACAUGAUGAAGUGGCACUGGGCUCCGAAACAAAAAUUCACAUGAGUCGAUAAGCCAAUUUGUGGCAGGCCUAGAAAACCUCGCCCACUGAUC
rnacentral:snoRNA from 1 species